GGAGGUUUAGCUCAGUUGGGAGAGCAUCUGCCUUACAAGCAGAGGGUCACAGGUUCAAGUCCUGUAACCUCCA
rnacentral:tRNA from 2 species